rnacentral:rRNA from 1 species
CCUACGGGAGGCAGCAGUGAGGAAUAUUGGUCAAUGGGCGUAAGCCUGAACCAGCCAAGCCGCGUGAGGGAUGACGGUUCUAUGGAUCGUAAACCUCUUUUGUAAGGGAAUAAAGUCUGGGACGUGUCCUAUUUUGUAUGUACCUUAUGAAAAAGGAUCGGCUAACUCCGUGCCAGCAGCCGCGGUAAUACGGAGGAUACGAGCGUUAUCCGGAUUUAUUGGGUUUAAAGGGUGCGUAGGCGGCCUUUUAAGUCAGCGGUGAAAGUCGGUGGCUCAACCAUAGAAUUGCCGUUGAAACUGGGGGGCUUGAGUAUGUUAGAGGCAGGCGGAAUGCGUGGUGUAGCGGUGAAAUGCUUAGAUAUCGCGCAGAACCCCGAUUGCGAAGGCAGCCUACCAAGCCAUGACUGACGCUGAGGCACGAAAGCGUGGGGAUCAAACAGGAUUAGAUACCCCGGUAGUC